GACGGAGGAUGCAAGCGUUAUCCGGAAUGAUUGGGCGUAAAGCGUCCGCAGGUGGCAGUUCAAGUCUGCUGUCAAAGACCGGGGCUUAACUUCGGAAAGGCAGUGGAAACUGAACAGCUAGAGUAUGGUAGGGGCAGAGGGAAUUCCUGGUGUAGCGGUGAAAUGCGCAGAUAUCAGGAGGAACACCGAUGGCGAAGGCAGCUCGCUGGGACGGUAC
rnacentral:rRNA from 1 species